rnacentral:rRNA from 1 species
GAUGAACGCUGGCGGCGUGCCUAAUACAUGCAAGUCGAGCGAACAGACGAGGAGCUUGCUCCUCUGACGUUAGCGGCGGACGGGUGAGUAACACGUGGAUAACCUACCUAUAAGACUGGGAUAACUUCGGGAAACCGGAGCUAAUACCGGAUAAUAUAUUGAACCGCAUGGUUCAAUAGUGAAAGACGGUUUUGCUGUCACUUAUAGAUGGAUCCGCGCCGCAUUAGCUAGUUGGUAAGGUAACGGCUUACCAAGGCAACGAUGCGUAGCCGACCUGAGAGGGUGAUCGGCCACACUGGAACUGAGACACGGUCCAGACACCUACGGGAGGCAGCAGUAGGGAAUCUUCCGCAAUGGGCGAAAGCCUGACGGAGCAACGCCGCGUGAGUGAUGAAGGUAUUAGGAUCGUAAAACUCUGUUAUUAGGGAAGAACAAAUGUGUAAGUAACUAUGCACGUCUUGACGGUACCUAAUCAGAAAGCAACGGCUAACUACGUG